UACAGAGGUCCCGAGCGUUGUUCGGAUUCACUGGGCGUAAAGGGUGCGUAGGUGGGUUGAUAAGUCAGUGGUGAAAUCCCCGAGCUUAACUUGGGAACUGCCAUUGAUACUAUUGAUCUUGAAUACCGUGGAGGUCAGCGGAAUAUGUCAUGUAGCGGUGAAAUGCUUAGAUAUGACAUAGAACACCAAUUGCGAAGGCAGCUGGCUACGCGAAUAUUGACACUGAUGCACGAAAGCGUGGGGAUCAAACAGG
rnacentral:rRNA from 1 species